GGCUGAUGCUGCUCUCUGAUGGAGAGACAGCGCCACGGACUACACGCCGAGUCUUUAUUUUAUAGCAGAUUCCCGGAGGCAAAGUCAGGG